AUGAAUUACCAGUCGUGUUUACUUGGGCGGCUUGUCAAGCGAGCCCUUGUUGCUGCCAUGGCGCUCCAUCUCCGUCUUCAUCCCAAACGCCGAGAAUCUCGUCUCCUCUCGCUCUCGCCGUUCUCCCUCCGAUUCAGAUGAUAAAGAGUCGCUCACUCUCUUGAUUACAUGCCAUCGGUCCGUCGAGCUCAAUCGGCAGCUAACGCCGUCAAUGAUCAGCCUCUUCACCACCAUCAAGGGCUUCCUUACCUCAACCCCGGCCGGCAGCACUCCAGCGACUCUUCCGCUCCUCCUUACUCUCUCUUCGCCUCCCGUGCUAAGCCACAGCAUCAUAGCAAUCCAUGGAAGCGCCACCUUUUCCGCUUGCUCAUCUUCUUCCUCCUCGGUUUUCUCUUCGGCCUCUACCCCUUCCCGGAGCUUGAUGACCUCCCCUUCUUUUCUCCCGCCAUUUCCUCCAUAAGUAUGAUUAACCUUCCGCGCCACGAUUUCGUAGCCCUUCUACCCUCUGGUCGUCAGGAGCUCGAGAUCCAGCCGUCAGACGGCAGGACGCACGCCACGGAUGAGCUAACGGAUCCAUCGCGCAGUGGGAAGCUGCUGAUCGUCGUCACGCCCACGUACAACCGCGCCUCCCAGGGUUACUACCUGAACCGGUUGGGGCAAACGCUGCGCUUGGUGCCUCCUCCGCUUCUUUGGAUCGUGGUGGAGAUGCACGUGGCUUCUGCGGAGACCUCGCAGAUCCUCGUGGAUGCCGGAGUUAUGUGCAGACAUCUUGUCUGCAAUAAGAACACAACCAACGUAAAGGACAGAGGCGUUCAUCAGCGAAACACAGCACUCGAGCAUAUCCAGAAGCACCGCCUGGAUGGGAUUGUGUACUUCGCUGAUGACGAUAACAUCUACUCACUUGAGCUGUUCGAGCAACUGAGGAAAAUCAGGAGAUUUGGUGUUUGGCCUGUUGCAAUGCUCUCUCAAAGCAAAAAUAAGGCCAUACUAGAAGGUCCAGUAUGCAAUGGAAGUCAAGUAAUAGGAUGGCAUACUAAUGAGAAAAGUAAGAGACUUAGGAGAUUUCAUGUUGAUAUGUCUGGAUUUGCGUUCAAUAGCACAAUAAUUUGGGACCCCAGGAUAUGGCACCGUCCAAACUCAGAUGCCAUUAGGCAACUAGACUCCGUGAAAGAGGGAUUUCAGGAGACUACAUUCAUAGAGCAGAUUGUAGAGGAUGAAAGUCAAAUGGAAGGGCUACCAAAGGGUUGCUCGACGAUCAUGAAUUGGCAUCUUCAUAUAGAAUCUAGAAAUCUUGUUUAUCCUAAAGGAUGGCGAGUGCCAAAGGACCUUGAUGCUAUUGUUCAUUCAAAUGUGCGACUUUCACAAGGAUCGACUUCAUAAAAUGGUUUAAAUUGCGUACUCAAGGUGCCAGACGAAUGCUUUGGCUAUAUAUCUAUCAUCAGAAAGCACCUGACCUAGCACUCUUCGAAUUCGUGCUUUUAUACAGGAAGCAACUUUCUUAGUGCGGCAGUUGCUUGAGGAUGGAUGAAUCAGCCCACUGAGAUCGUUUAGUUCCAUUUUACAGAUUCUUUGAAUAGCAGACCAAUAAUCAUGAUACUGCUUUGUAUCUGCACAGAUUACAAAAGCUAUCAAUUUUUUGUUUUCCCUUUAUUUACCCUCUUUCUUGUAAGCUGUUUUCGGCAUCAAUUUUGUGUUUUUAAUAAUACAAAAAUUGAUCAGUAGUUACAGAUACCCGUAAAAUUGCGAUGUCAUUUAUUAUAUGAAAAAGUUCAAGUAUACUUGGGAUA